rnacentral:rRNA from 1 species
CUUGCUUCUCUUGAGAGCGGCGGACGGGUGAGUAAUGCCUAGGAAUCUGCCUGGUAGUGGGGGAUAACGUUCGGAAACGGACGCUAAUACCGCAUACGUCCUACGGGAGAAAGCAGGGGACCUUCGGGCCUUGCGCUAUCAGAUGAGCCUAGGUCGGAUUAGCUAGUUGGUGGGGUAAUGGCUCACCAAGGCGACGAUCCGUAACUGGUCUGAGAGGGUGAUCAGUCACACUGGAACUGAGACACGGUCCAGACUCCUACGGGAGGCAGCAGUGGGGAAUAUUGGACAAUGGGCGAAAGCCUGAUCCAGCCAUGCCGCGUGUGUGAAGAAGGUCUUCGGAUUGUAAAGCACUUUAAGUUGGGAGGAAGGGUUGUAGAUUAAUACUCUGCAAUUUUGACGUUACCGACAGAAUAAGCACCGGCUAACUCUGUGCCAGCAGCCGCGGUAAUACAGAGGGUGCAAGCGUUAAUCGGAAUUACUGGGCGUAAAGCGCGCGUAGGUGGUUUGUUAAGUUGGAUGUGAAAUCCCCGGGCUCAACCUGGGAACUGCAUUCAAAACUGACUGACUAGAGUAUGGUAGAGGGUGGUGGAAUUUCCUGUGUAGCGGUGAAAUGCGUAGAUAUAGGAAGGAACACCAGUGGCGAAAGCGACCACCUGGACUAAUACUGACACUGAGUGCGAAAGCGUGGGGAGCAAACAGGAUUAGAUACCCUGGUAGUCCACGCCGUAAACGAUGUCAACUAGCCCGUUUGGAAGCCCUUGAGCUUUUAGUGGCGCAGCUAACGCAUUAGUUGACCGCCUGG